rnacentral:lncRNA from 1 species
GUUACUGGAUUUCUGGAUUUGUCAGUGCAAUAAUCAUAGAUCAUGUGGUUCAUUCUAACCCAGCGAUAUUGCUUUGCUUCCACAGCACUGAGUUGUUGGUAAUUAGCUCCUUCCCACCAAUUGCGAGGAUUUGAGGCACAGUUUGCUGGUCCUGGCAUUGCACAUCCCUCUAUGUCAAAGUCCUUGUAAUAUGCGUAAAAUGGGGAUCUGCUCCAAUUUAUUUUCUCUAAUCCACCUCUCGUUGCCCAGUCGUCGGCUUCCCAUAAUGUUGAAUAAACUCCCAUGGGUUGGAAUUUGGGGAAUGGGAUUCCUUUUGCUUCGUUGUUCUUGUACACUCUAAUUGGUACUGCGUCUACGUAGAAUCUUCAAUAGUACAAACAGUUAAGUAUUAUUUAUUGUGAUUUUUAAUUAAAAGAUCGAUGGAAGAAUAAUUGUUAAGUAGUACUAUAUGUCUGCUUACACAGUGUGAUGGUGGUUCCAAAGUAUGGUGUAGGUAUGAAAAUCAGCGGAUGGAUCGAACCAAAGGUUGAUCCUUUGUUCCUUGUCACCCUUUCCAUGGACAUAAACAUUCGUUUGGACAGUGUACGGCUGGCCUGACCUGUUUCCCAAGAACUCGAAGUCUAGCUCGUCCCUUACAUUAUCUGUGUCCGAGUUCAUCUACAAAUGAUAAUGUCACAUGCAAUAAUUAAUUUCCGCGAGCUUUAACUUCUUUGCACUGGUAGAGUAUAAUUAUUUUACGUAUUAUAACUGCUUACAAUGAUGAGUAACUGUCUAUAGUGAUUCUAACUUAGUAACAUGAAAAUGCAAUGCUUUGACUGAUUAGAAACCAUAGUUAAAUAUUUUACACUGAAAUUUAUAUAAUUAAAUUCUGUUCUUAUUUAGAUUAAACCUCUUUCUUUUACUUUUCCAGGAAAUGAAAUCUUGGGGUAAAUUGUGACGCCCCAAGUAAAUCUCUCAUUAACAAAAAUAUGAGAGAGAUAAUGGGUUAAAGUCGUGUAAGCUUGAGCCCAAAGCGUACAAUAUCAUUAGUGGGCUGAGCUGUUAUAUAAACUAAG